GACGAACGCUGGCGGCAUGCCUAAUACAUGCAAGUCGAGCGAACAGAUGAAGUGCUUGCACUUCUGACGUUAGCGGCGAACGGGUAAGUAACACGUAAGGAAUCUACCUAUAAGCGGGGGAUAACAUUCGGAAACGGGUGCUAAUACCGCAUAAUAUCUUCUUCCGCAUGGAAGAAGAUUGAAAGACGGCUCUGCUGUCACUUAUAGAUGACCUUGCGGUGCAUUAGUUAGUUGGUGGGGUAAUGGCCUACCAAGACGAUGAUGCAUAGCCGACCUGAGAGGGUGAUCGGCCACAUUGGGACUGAGACACGGCCCAAGCUCCUACGGGAGGCAGCAGUAGGGAAUCUUCCGCAAUGGGCGAAAGCCUGACGGAGCAAUGCCGCGUGAGUGAAGAAGGCCUUCGGGUCGUAAAACUCUGUUAUAAGAGAAGAACAAAUUGUAGAGUAACUGCUACAGUCUUGACGGUAUCUUAUCAGAAAGCCACGGCUAACUACGUGCCAGCAGCCGCGGUAA
rnacentral:rRNA from 1 species